CUCCGGUGAAUNCCGCGGGACCUGACUGCUAUCGGAUUGGUACUAAGCCAUGCGAGUCAUUGUAGCAAUACAAGGCGGACGGCUCAGUAACACGUAGUCAACCUAACUCGUGGACGUGGAUAACCUCGGGAAACUGAGAAUAAACCACGAUAGACCAUAGUGCCUGGAAUGGCUUAUGGUCCAAACAGUUUACUGCCAUGGGAUGGGACUGCGGCCUAUCAGCUUGUUGGUGAGGUAAUGGCCCACCAAGGCGAUUACAGGUACGGGCUCUGAGAGGAGAAGCCCGGAGAUGGGUACUGAGACACGGACCCAGGCCCUAUGGGGCGCAGCAGGCGAGAAACCUUAGCAAUGUGCGAAAGCACGACUGGGUCAGUCCGAGUGAUUCCUGAUAAAGGAGUCUUUUGCUUGUCCUAAAAGCACAGGUGAAUAAGGGGUGGGCAAGUCUGGUGUCAGCCGCCGCGGUAAUACCAGCACCUCGAGUGGUCAGGACGUUUAUUGGGCCUAAAGCAUCCGUAGCCGGCUUUGCAAGUCUUCGGUUAAAUCCACCUGCUCAACAGAUGGGCUGCUGGAGAUACUACAAAGCUAGGGAGUGGGAGAGGCAGACGGUAUUCAGUGGGUAGGGGUAAAAUCCUCUGAUCCAUUGAGGACCACCAGUGGCGAAGGCGGUCUGCCAGAACACGUUCGACGGUGAGGGAUGAAAGCUGGGGGAGCAAACCGGAUUAGAUACCCGGGUAGUCCCAGCUGUAAACGAUGCAAACUCGGUGAUGCAUUGGCUUAUGGCCAAUGCAGUGCCGCAGGGAAGCCGUUAAGUUUGCCGCCUGGGAAGUACGGACGCAAGUCUGAAACUUAAAGGAUUGGCGGGGGAGCA
rnacentral:rRNA from 1 species